rnacentral:rRNA from 1 species
GUGUCAGCCGCCGCGGUAAUACGUAGGGUGCGAGCGUUAAUCGGAAUUACUGGGCGUAAAGCGUGCGCAGGCGGUUGGUUAAGUCUGAUGUGAAAGCCCCGGGCUCAACCUGGGAAUGGCAUUGGAAACUGUCCAGCUGGAGUGUGGCAGAGGGGGGUGGAAUUCCGCGUGUAGCAGUGAAAUGCGUAGAGAUGCGGAGGAACACCGAUGGCGAAGGCAGCCCCCUGGGCCAACACUGACGCUCAGGCACGAAAGCGUGGGGAGCAAACAGGAUUAGAUACCCCUGUAGUCC